CAAACAACAUCGGAACUAUAAAAAAAGAUUUAGAUGCUGCUGACAUCCCCUUUCUACAGAACUUCAAUGUGUCAAAAGACAGAGCUCAGAUCACACUGAGGGAUCCAGUGAUGCCUGCUGGAGCAUUGGUGAAUGUUGCAGAACACCUGGGGAACCUGAAGUUUGAAGUCUGGCAGAAGAUGAUGGCGAUAGUUC